rnacentral:piRNA from 1 species
UACAUAUCAUGUUGGAGGCUAUCCUACUC